CUUGAUGGAGCCCAGCAGCAGCGGCCGCUCGGCGGGCUUCUCCUUGCCGUAGGUGGCCAGCAGCGCCUGCGCCUC
rfam:Streptomyces autolyticus strain CGMCC0516, complete genome.